rnacentral:rRNA from 1 species
AAUCUUCGUCAAUGGACGAAAGUCUGACCGAGCAAUGCCGCGUGAGUGAAGAAGGUCUUCGGAUUGUAAAACUCUGUAAUUAGGGAAGAAAGAUAUAUGGAGGGAAUGCCCUAUAAGUGACUGUACCUAAUGAGAAAGCCACGGCUAACUACCUGCCUGCAGCCGCGGUAAUCCGUAGGUGGCGAGCGUUGUCCGGAAUUAUUGGGCGUAAAGCGUGCGUAGGCGGUCUAUUAAGGCUGAUUUGAAAGCCAAUGGCUUAACCAUGGAGGGUGAUUGGAAACUGGUAGACUUGAGAGAAGGAGAGGAAGGUGGAAUUCCACGUGUAGCGGUGAAAUGCGUAGAUAUGUGGAGGAACACCAGUGGCGAAGGCGGCCUUCUGGCCUUUUUCUGACGCUGAUGCACGAAAGCGUGGGUAGCAAACA